UAUCUUUGCGCCCUGAUUGUAUGUCCCUGAGCUAGACAAAGGAAUUAUCAAUCAGAUACAUAAAAAUCAUUUUAACAAUAUUGGCAUG
rfam:Muricauda lutaonensis strain CC-HSB-11, complete genome.